rnacentral:lncRNA from 1 species
CUGCACCAUUCCAUCACCUUGUUGGGGUGGAAAUGCCCAGUUGAAACAAAUUGGUAUCUGCUUUUCAAAAACUGGUGGACAGCUUGAACCCUCCCAAGUCUUCAAAUGAAGACACAAAAACUGACAGCAAAUUUCUCAACAUUAAUAGGAAUAAAAUGAAAUCCUGGACAACUUUUAGGAGUUUAGCAUGUAGAUUGUCUUGAAAUAAAACAAUAAUUUGCCUAUGUUCUCCCAGAAAUUGUGACAGAGUACAUCGUGUUUUAUAAGUCUUUGCAAAAAUGAAUCAUCCACUUUCUUAGGACAGCAUCAGAAUUCACUAAACAUAAAAAGAAUGAAACAACUCCUUUACUAAUACAUUAAGACACAUAACUUACCUAUGACCUGAUUUUAAGGGCCUUUUUUCCCUACCAUGGAAACAUGAGCAGUCUUAACUUUGCUGUUUCUUUUUCAUUGCCAUCAAUUCUCUGUAACUGCAAUGUUGCGAGCAAGCGCUCCCCUCCUCUUUCAAGAGCAAAACCAUCACAGCAUCUGCUUCUCAUAAGCACGUUUGUGCGUGUGUGUAAGUGUGCGUGUAUGAGAGACAGAAAGAGAGAAGUAAAUCUGGUGCAUUUAACUUAAAAGUUUGUCAGAGGGAAGGCUUUUUUCUUUUCCAUCCUUCAAAUUAUAGAACAUAGAAGUAGGGCUACUGCUAUGCAUUUGUGGUUUUACUUUCAACUCACUUGUUAGCCAGGGGACAGUUAGUGACUGAGGAAAAGAAAUUUAAUUUAUUUCAAUUGACUGGUGCAUGAAUUGCUAUAGACGAUAGUAAGUUUUUAUUGGCACUUGUCUUCCAGAGCUUGCAGAGCAAAAGAAGUUCCUUCAGUACACUCACAGAUUCAACAGUGAAAACUGGGCACAUUAACAGUAGUCCUUGAGGUGGAAGAGGCAAUAACAUCACCACAUAUUCAUCCCCACUACCCACAAACUCAAUAAAACAAUCCAGAAAGGGAUUCCAGUGCAAUCUGUGGGCCUGUUUUUUCCUGCCCCAUUCUGCUUUGACAUCUAUAGGAAACAGGAGGAGGUCCGUCAUCAUCUGAACUUGCAAAGAGGAAGGCAAUGAACUGACUUCUCUUGAUAGACUUUAAACUAUUUCAGGAAGUCAAUCACACUACGCCUUUUCUUUUGCUCCCACCACCACUGAAACUCUUCAGCCCUGAAUUUCGAAGAGGACAC